AGUCUCCCACAAGGAGCGAUCGAAGGCGUUUCGAGGAGGCAGUAACUGAACUGGACCGUCUAUCCUACGGAAGGCAGCAGUGGGAAUUGACAUGGGCCAUCUGAUCAGCAUGCGCUGCGGAAGAAGCUCGGUUGUAAUCGCUUCGACGAAGAAUCGCGCAGCUAAUAUCUGUGUGGAUGACGUACCGUAGAAGAAGCACUGCUACUACGUGCAGCAGCGCGGUAAUACGUAGGGUGCGAGCGUAUCGGAAUACUGGGCGUAAAGCGUGCGCAGGCGGAUAUUUAAGUCAGACGUGAAAUCCCCGGGCUUAACCUGGGAAUUGCGUUUGAAACUGGAUAUCUAGAGUGCGUCAGAGGGGGGUGGAAUUCCACGUGUAGCAGUGAAAUGCGCAGAGAUGUGGAGGAACACCGAUGGCGAAGGCAGCCCCCUGGGUCGACACUGACGCUCAUGCACGAAAGCGUGGGUAGCAAACAGGAUUAGAUACCCUGGUAGUCCACGCCCUAAACGAUGCCAACUAGGUGUUGGGGAAGGAGACUUCCUUAGUACCGUAGCUAACGCGUGAAGUUGGCCGCCUGGGGAGUACGGUCGCAAGAUUAAAACUCAAAGGAAUUGACGGGGACCCGCACAAGCGGUGGAUGAUGUGGAUUAAUUCGAUGCAACGCGAAAAACCUUACCUACCCUUGACAUGCCAGGAAUCCCGCUGAGAGGUGGGAGUGCUCGAAAGAGAACCUGGACACAGGUGCUGCAUGGCUGUCGUCAGCUCGUGUCGUGAGAUGUUGGGUUAAGUCCCGCAACGAGCGCAACCCUUGUCAUUAGUUGCCAUCAUUCAGUUGGGCACUUUAAUGGGACUGCCGGUGACAAACCGGAGGAAGGUGGGGAUGACGUCAAGUCCUCAUGGCCCUUAUGGGUAGGGCUUCACACGUCAUACAAUGGUCGGUACAGAGGGUUGCCAAGCCGCGAGGUGGAGCCAAUCCCACAAAGCCGAUCGUAGUCCGGAUCGCAGUCUGCAACUCGACUGCGUGAAGUCGGAAUCGCUAGUAAUCGUGGAUCAGCAUGUCACGGUGAAUACGUUCCCGGGUCUUGUACACACCGCCCGUCACACCAUGGGAGUGGGUUCCACCAGAAGUAGGUAGUCUAACCGCAAGGGGGGCGCUUACCACGGUGGGAUUCAUGACUGGGGUGAAGUCGUAACAAGGUAGCCGU
rnacentral:rRNA from 1 species